GAAAGGAGAUGAAUCUACUAUAGUGUCCUUUUAUCCCAAGACCUCAGACACCAAGACAGACUGCAGUCCUGCGGGGAGAGGCUCCUCCUUGUGUCCAGGGCUUUCUGCACUGCAGAGCUUCAGGGAAUGCGCAGGGCAUGCUGGGAAAGCCCUGGCCCCUCUGACCCUUUGGGCCCACCCUCAUACUUUGCAGGCCUUUGAACCGUCCUUUAGAAACCAGCCCCCGAAUAAACCUUUAGAGGUCGCCUUCUGGUCCUGAGGCUUUUCGUAGAGAGCAGGAACUUGUUUUGCCCACAGAGGGCCAAUGCCUGGCCUGGAAUUCAGGUGUGGUGCUAUCCCACAUCACCAGUUAAGCCAUGCUAAUGUGACAAUGACUCACAAUUCUCUGCAGCACAGUUUUCCAAAGUAUGGGCCACAGGCCAAGUGCACCAAAUCAGCAGGUGAGCUUGAUAAAAAUGCAAAUUCCUGGCCCCCUGACACACCUCAAAGUUUAAAUGCAAUGACUCACAAAGUUACCAGCCCCGGAAUACACUCUGGAAACAGAAUGCUGUAGGUUUCCAGAGCAGUCUGUAGUUGGGGAAAGCUGGGGCCCUUGAGCAGACUUCCUGGAGCUUCGGAAAUCAUCCCCUGCAGGUAUUUCUGACCCUGCCUAUUUAUAGAGCCAACUUCCCCGGGGAACAUCUUAAAUGUUGUUGGAAUCAUCGCUGCAAAUGUCACAGGAGACCACUUCUGUGGGUCCCCGAUGAAACAGAGUGUUUGGGAAAGGAACAAGGGGAUUCAGCUGACUCAACUUGGAGGUGGCUCCCGUCCCUACGUUACUGUUCCAUUCCUACGGCUCCACCCUCCUGGGCUCAGUGUGAGCAGACAGGAGCACAGGAGACUAACACCGCCAAGUUCACAGUCACAGAGCUGCCCCCCUCCACUGGGCCAGAGGCAAAGAAAAAUCCCAACCUCUGCCUUGUAAUCAUCUGGUUUUAUUGAACCUGGACAGGAAGUGAAUUCCAAAGGCAGGAAAUGACCCAGAGACCAUAACAACAUGUGAAAAGCCAGGCCGGUGCUUCCGCCACUUUGUUUCAUACUAUUCUCAUCUGUGUCCCUGGAAGCCGAGCCCAUUACCAGAUGGAGAUCUGUUUGCAGCCGCCUCUUGGCAUCUGCCCCUCCCGGCUGGUGACAUUUGCACGUUUCAGAAGGCAAACCUGCGCCCACAUCUUCCAGCUUCCGGGGAGGUGCAGCCCCAGGGAAGUCCUUGGGUCUCUGGCUGAGGGCUCCCGCCAUCUGACCCGCUGCUGGCCUCCAGCCUGGAACACGAGCACGCCGUGUCUGUUCUUGAAGAUUUGCAGCAUCUGAAAUCAAAAGGCCCCGUGUUGCCAAAAAAGGCAGGCUCCCUCGCCUGCUUCUCAAUCCCUUCUCACCAGGCUUUCCUAACCCGAUGAGUCAGGAAGGAAAAAAAAAAAAAAAAUGUGUCUGAAGAUCUGGGGGUGGCCCCGUGUCUCUUCUUGCUUCUAAAAAUGUCCUCCCGUUUUUCCAAUGUGUGUCAUGGUUAGGGAUGCGGUUUGUACUGUUUCUCUGGUUCUUCCUCUGUCAGCUCUCGCUGGGAGAGACCCUCCAUUGACCACGCGUGACAUCAGCUCUGCAAAAGCAUGAGGCCCUCUGAUGAGGAAUCAGUCGCUCACUGUUGCAAAGGAGUUCUGACUUCACUUCUAUCCCCAGGAGCAAGGCAAG